UUGCAUGCAGGUGUCAAUGGCUAUUUGGGAGAGAGACUCAUCUUAUUUGUGAAGUUGUAGUUCUGGAGUUUCAACUAAUGUCUGAUCAGCUCAGUUAAAUAGAAACAGUUUGUUAUAGCAUGCGGAUCAGAGUUUGAUUAACUUUUAUCAAGGAUUACAAACUAGAGGGAGAGAAGGCGAUGUAGAUGGGAACGACAAGAGACUGCUAAUAUCAGUGAAGAGGAUGCUAACGGCUAACCUGUGGAGGUUGUCACAAAUUGAAGACAUUGAAGAAGAGGACUGUCUCCCAGAACUACACAAAUAAAAGGCGGAGCAGGAAGCUGGAUUUUCCCACCGCAGCGUCUCCAGCCAAGACAAUCCUAUAGGCUUUCUCUGACGUCAUGUAGCCCAGAGCACACACUGGUCUGAUGUGAGCUCUGUGCUACAUUUCAGAGCUGUGGACUCUCAGCUGACUCUUACUGCCAGGAGAUGAGAGGCUGCAUUCAACAGAUGGCACCGCUGUGAAAAUCAAUGUAACGAUGGCACAGCACAGCAGCACGAGGAUCAGUCCCAUGCCAGGCCGGGGGCCACACACCGAUGCACACAGUCUUUACAUAUUCAUGUUGGUCAUCAUACAUAAACAGGAGCUCUUUGAACAGGGCUGUUCAAGAUAAAACUGAAUAUCACAUGAAAUAUUUUAAUUCUUUUGCACUUCAAUACCUGGGUUUUAGUGGGAGACAGAACAAUCCUGAAUUUUAUUAUUUAUCAGGAGGGGAUGAUAAAAUCAAUGAAAAUGAACUUUUAAAGGGUCAGACAAAGAAGAAAGACUGAUUAGAAAAUGCCACAAUGUCCAUCGGUCUGCCUGAGCUCCUGGACAAAACUGUGUAUAAGGUUUUAAUAAAGUAUGUUGACCCUUUUUAA